UGGGGAAUUUUGCGCAAUGGGGGAAACCCUGACGCAGCAACGCCGCGUGGAGGAUGAAAUCCCCUGGGAUGUAAACUCCUUUCGAUCGGGAAGAUAAUGACGGUACCGAGAGAAGAAGCCCCGGCUAACUUCGUGCCAGCAGCCGCGGUAAUACGAGGGGGGCAAGCGUUGUUCGGAAUUAUUGGGCGUAAAGGGUGCGUAGGCGGUUUGAUAAGUUUGGUGUGAAAUCUAUGGGCUCAACCCAUAGCCUGCACCGAAAACUGUCGGGCUUGAGUAUGGGAGAGGUGAGUGGAAUUUCCGGUGUAGCGGUGAAAUGCGUAGAUAUCGGAAGGAACACCUGUGGCGAAAGCGGCUCACUGGACCAUUACUGACGCUGAUGCACGAAAGCUAGGGGAGCAAACAG
rnacentral:rRNA from 1 species